UAUUGGACAAUGGGCGAAAGCCUGAUCCAGCAAUGCCGCGUGAGUGAUGAAGGCCUUAGGGUUGUAAAGCUCUUUUACCCGGGAUGAUAAUGACAGUACCGGGAGAAUAAGCUCCGGCUAACUCCGUGCCAGCAGCCGCGGUAAUACGGAGGGAGCUAGCGUUGUUCGGAAUUACUGGGCGUAAAGCGCACGUAGGCGGCUUUGUAAGUUAGAGGUGAAAGCCUGGAGCUCAACUCCAGAAUUGCCUUUGAUACUGCAUCGCUUGAAUCCAGGAGAGGUGAGUGGAAUUCCGAGUGUAGAGGUGAAAUUCGUAGAUAUUCGGAAGAACACCAGGGCGAAGGCGGCUCACUGACUGUAUUGACGCUGAGGUCGAAA
rnacentral:rRNA from 1 species